rnacentral:rRNA from 1 species
UACAGAGGGUGCGAGCGUUAAUCGGAAUUACUGGGCGUAAAGCGCGCGUAGGCGGCUUUGCAAGUCGGGUGUGAAAUCCCCAGGCUUAACCUGGGAACUGCAUUCGAGACUGCAUAGCUAGAGUAUCGGAGAGGGAAGUGGAAUUUCAGGUGUAGCGGUGAAAUGCGUAGAUAUCAAGAGGAACACCUGAGGUGAAGACGGGUUGCUGGGCCAACACUGACGCUGAGGCGCGAAAGCCAGGGGAGCAAACGGG